CACAAGCGGUGGAGUAUGUGGUUUAAUUCGAUGCAACGCGGAGAACCUUACCUGGUCUUGACAUCCCGGAGACCCUUAGGAAACUAGGGGGUGCUUCCAUCUGGAAGAAUCUGGAGACAGGUGCUGCAUGGCUGUCGUCAGCUCGUGUCGUGAGAUGUUGGGUUAAGUCCCGCAACGAGCGCAACCCUUGCCUUUAGUUGCCAGCAGUCGGCUGGGCACUCUAAAGGGACUGCCGGUGUUAAACCGGAGGAAGGUGGGGAUGACGUCAAGUCCUCAUGGCCUUUAUGACCAGGGCUACACACGUACUACAAUGGCCGAUACAAAGGGCAGCGACACUGCGAGGUGAAGCCAAUCCCGUAAAAUCGGUCUCAGUCCGGAUUGGAGUCUGCAACUCGACUCCAUGAAGUUGGAAUCGCUAGUAAUCGUGGAUCAGCAUGCCACGGUGAAUACGUUCCCGGGCCUU
rnacentral:rRNA from 1 species